rnacentral:misc_RNA from 1 species
GAUGAAGAACGCAGCGAAAUGCGAUACGUAAUGUGAAUUGCAGAAUUCAGUGAAUCAUCGAGUCUUUGAACGCACAUUGCGCCCCCUGGUAUUCCGGGGGGCAUGCCUGUCCGAGCGUCAUUGCUGCCCUCAAGCACGGCUUGUGUGUUGGGCCUCCGUCCUCCUCCCGGGGGACGGGCCCGAAAGGCAGCGGCGGCACCGCGUCCGGUCCUCGAGCGUAUGGGGCUUCGUCACCCGCUCUUGUAGGCCCGGUCGGCGCUUGCCGACACAUCAAUCUUUUUUCCAGGUUGAACUCGGAUCAGGUAGGGAUACCCGCUGAACUUAAGCAUAUCAAUAAGCGGAGGA